rnacentral:rRNA from 1 species
AACGAACGCUGGCGGCAUGCCUAACACAUGCAAGUCGAACGAGACCUUCGGGUCUAGUGGCGCACGGGUGCGUAACGCGUGGGAACCUGCCCUUAGGUUCGGAAUAACUCCCCGAAAGGGGUGCUAAUACCGGAUAAUGUCUUCGGACCAAAGAUUUAUCGCCUUUGGAUGGGCCCGCGUUGGAUUAGCUAGUUGGUAGGGUAAAAGCCUACCAAGGCGACGAUCCAUAGCUGGUCUGAGAGGAUGAUCAGCCACACUGGGACUGAGACACGGCCCAGACUCGUACGGGAGGCAGCAGUGGGGAAUAUUGGACAAGGGGCGAAAGCCUGAUCCAGCAAUGCCGCGUGAGUGAUGAAGGCCUUAGGGUUGUAAAGCUCUUUUACCCGGGAUGAUAAUGACAGUACCGGGAGAAUAAGCUCCGGCUAACUCCGUG